GAGAACGGAGUGGCAAAGAUAGCAAAGUGGCCGAUGGUAUCCGCGUGACAACAUUCCUCGUCGACGGCAGUAGUACCCAUAAUCUCUGUAAAAGGGCUGCGAAUGGCGAUUGUUAUCCCUCCUUCGGAAGAAUGCUCGGCGAUAAAGACUGGUGCGGCCAGGAACAGAUUGACAGCGAGCAGGGAAACACCGUGAAACUAACAAGUGUUCCUCUCAUUACGUGUAUAUGCUGCCUCUGUGGAAAAAUUACGUGUUACAUUUAGAAAACAACGUUAAAAACAGCAGUUCACCUGGCUAAAACUACAAUUGGUACCGGCCGACAAGAGUCGCGGGCGCACCAAUGCAAGUAAAACCAUAAAAAAAUAUUUACUGCUCAGACUCUUUGCAAGAAAAACUGGCCAUCCGCCAGAGUCCGCGCAACGAACGCGCGCUCUAAAGUCACUGGAGCGCGCUCGCUAGCAGACGACUCACUAGACAACGACAACAAAAUUGAAGACGUCGUGUUGUAUGACACAUGCCUGAAAUACACAUACGUGGCAAAAAUGUGCUAAUCAAAAUUUGCAGCGGAAAUAAAACACUAUUAUAAGAGAGUACGCGCGCAACCGGUCUCAGUGCCCGCAGCGAUAUUACGUUGAAUAUGCCGCGAAGUGACUCUAUAUCGAGUUCGCUCGCAGCGCCCUCGCAAAAUUUUUCCACACGCGGCGCCUCAGCGAGAAAGCGCCGUUCGGACCACUCGUCCAUAGCCUAGUUGCACACGCCCGCGUUCCAGAAAAUAGCCUAGUACCUUCCUUCGUCUGGCGGAACGUUGAUCUCAGCAGGCGUGCCGGCUCCCGUCGUCUGUGUACCGUUUGUUUCGCCGGCGAAUCAUAGAGGGCGAACUACGGCGUCUGCUGGUCUGCUGCGCUCUGCACAUCGGUCCACAUUGCUCUACUCGCUCGAGCGGCUGGACGUUCUAGGUUUUCUCCGAAUAGGUUGCAGUUGCUGAUUGGCCAGUAUGGCUGGACCGACGCCAGUGCAGGUGCAUAUUGAGUACUGUGGUGGAUGAGGGUACGCCCCUCGCUUUCAGGAGCUAAGGAACCAAAUCCUUGUCAGAGUACCAACUGCCAACGUGACUGGCACAGUAGGACGCCAAACGUCCUUUGAAGUGACAAUAAAUAAUGUCCUGGUAUACUCUAAACUCGCAAAGGGUAACUUUCCUGACUUUGAAGAGGUUGUCCAGCGAGUACUCGAUGCCAGCCUUGGCAAGGGGGUGAAGCCUUGCGUGAAGCUUGGUGCGAGCGGCAACUGCUCUUUGUUAUAGCAUGGCACCUCAUUGGGUGCUCUAUGCGCAUUUGCUCUGCCAGUUGACCAUGCAGUUGGCCUUCCUGAACAAUAGCUGAAGGCUUUGGAAAGCGCAUUUAUGAUGGCUUGACCCCAAAUCUUGAAAGAGUCUUGCCUGAAGAGCCAGCGUGUUCCUGCCCGGCGCUACUUGCUGUGUGAAAGCCACUCAUGUAUGGACCUUGUGGAAGUAAAUGCAUUUGUUUCAUUAUUAGUCUUUUUUUCUAGAAGUUCCUGAUGCUGUGAAAUAGCAAGAGCCGAAAUAACUUAAACUUGCUUGACGCGACAUAGCGAGGACUAUUAUAUAAUAAUCUGCUCUAGAUUGAAACUUGUUUGUGGAACCAUGUGGCGUAUGUCUCUCUGACAUGUUGUUGAAGGCUGUCACCUGCUGUUUUGAGUAUCUGAUGAAAUGCCGACCUUGCAUGUGAUAAGACAUGCAACUGUUUCUUUAGUUGCUGUGUUUGGGAAGUCGAACUUUGCACAAAAAUUCUGUGGAUGCAUUGCUUCUGCGACGAGAAGCACAGCAUUUGCGUCUUCAACAUGAGGUGCAGCAUCUCAACAGCAGUUUUGCAACAUACUAGCUGUCGCAGCAGAAGACUGCAAGAACACUCGCCAUGGCGAUGGCACCAACAUGCGGUACCACCCCGUGUUGGUACCAUCCUACCACGCUGUUUCUUAGAUUGCACAGUCUUCGAGAUUAGUUCACGAGACUGGCUACAGUCAAUAAAUUGCGAUUAGUUCCUAAAGAAUGCUAAAAGCACUUGAAGUGCUUUUACGCAUUAGCAUAAGUGAGUAGAUGGAGCAUUUGUUAAUGCUAUUCUUUAUCUGAUAAGUACAGACAGCUCGGGAAAGUCCAUCAUGUCAGUUUUUGCCAUAUGAGAAAAAAAUGGAAGAGCGGGUGCGACGUUGGUGCACAUCACUCCACACAUUAUCUCAGCAGCUCACCAACGGCCUAGAGGUAGACAAGGCCCAUGCGAUCUAUCCUCAAGUGGUCACUGCUUCACCAUGCAGCAAAAUGUUGAAUUGCAUGUGUGUUUGCUUUCCGUACAUCGUUUUUGCAUUUAAUAACCGUGUGUUUCUUCAUUUUCAACUUUUGUAUUGAGACGAUGUGUUAUACUAGGUGUUUCUACGAAGAUUUUUGUAAUAUUUAAAAUUCGAUAUUUUGAAAUAAAAGGAUGGUACCUUCGGAGACAUGCCAUGAGCGUUGGCGACCAUGGCAUGACGGGUGAUAUGGAGUUAUUCGUUGCCAACUUCUAAUGUCAGCAGGCUUCAUUAUUAGCAAAUUGAAACAAGCCCUCCACAUAAGCCAUGUCAACCUCUGGAUCUGGGAAAUUUUAAUUGGGAACUGGCAAUGAAUGCAAAAUGUCACUUUCAGAAGAAUUGACUGCGCGACAGGCUGCAGCCUGUCAUGUCUCCUCAAGCUUUUCUCGCAUGGAAAAAUGCGAAUAGAUGGAGCAAAGGCUUGGUCACUCUUUAAUCUUCUUCAAAAUAUUGAGGGGGAAAGAAAAGCACUGGGGUGACUGAGAUCUUUAGCUGCUCAGAUGUAAGGCGGCUCACAACAUUGCAUGCUGUGAUGAAAGUAAGGUUCGGCCUUUAAAUAAAAUCUUUUGUAAACAAAACACUUUAUUUGAGUAAGGAAAAGUACAAAAGAUAUCUUACUCCAAUUUGCAUGUCAUGUAUCCGCCUAGCUUAUUCUGUCAUUUCGAUGACUACCAUAGAAACGAGAUGCAUUUAUGUGUUAUUCAGGCGGAUCUUAGUUUCACAUUUUCUGGAAGUUACACAGGAGUGUAAGAAGUGUUUCAAGAAGUUACACAGGAGUGUAAGUCACUCAUUCUUGGUCUAUCUCAAGAAUGGGUAUGUGCCAUACUUUAAUAUUUAUCCAGUGCUAGUAGAAUUGAAGCCAUGUCACAGAGGUCCCACAGGUACAGCAGCUCGAUGCUUUAGCGUGCUGCGCAGUAAAUGCAUUGUGGAUAGUACAGGAGCAAUUCUCAGCAUUUGCAUGCACCGGCGUGUUUUGCAUCACGGAGGGCACGCGCAGACAUUGCGGCUGCGGCGCUAGGUGGCGCAGCGUGUCCGGAGAGCAUUGCGAGAGUGGAGCCCGGCUGCAGGCACACGCCUCAUAUAGGACGCGGUUCGGUGGUGUCAAUACGAUGUUUAUGCAAUGCUGAUCGCAUGAACAUCGACAUUCAUUGUGAGGUAGGUUCUGUCGAAAUUUUAGAGCGCAGCUCUUAAGCGCCCGUUCCUGCGUGCCUCGGCGGCGUAGCCGAACGAACGAGCACAACAAAUGAAAGAACGGGCGCAGGAGGGGAUGAAAUACGGCGAGAGCGCAAGGAGGAAAGCGGAGGCUGUGGCGGAAGCACGAGGAGGAAAGCGUUUGCGUAUUCGCGGCAGCGGCGUCACCGGCCGUGCGGGGAAAAAAAAACUAAGCUCGCCUUCGCGCAUAGCGUUCGCCGCAAGCGUUUUCCUGUAAAGAUUACAGUUGCAUAAGCUGCAGUUUCCGGAAAGCGGCAACUGUGUGGCCGGUCUAGCGCUGCGCGCGUCGUGGUUCUGCCAGUCGGUGCGGUGAUCGGUGCGAUGUCUCAAUAUAUUGCGAAAUGAAAAUGCGUAUACAGCUGCGCUCAAAUUUCGCAUUAGGGAGUAUCGUAAUCGUCGUUUUUUUUUUUUUUUUCGUGCGUCAAUUUCGAACUUCUCAUGUUAAUUCUGCUGUUCGCUUGUGUGUCGCUACGUGCAGUAUUUAACCUAAAUUCCUGAUUACCUUGGGGCCACCCGUCUCGCGAAUCGACGUCCAACCGGUGCAGGCAUGGAGGAAGGAAAAAAUAUAGGAGGGAGCAUUACGUCACGCAACCAGCCUAGGCAAGCGAACGUUCCGUGAAGCCCACAAAUUUGCUCAGUGGUGACCCAACACGUGGCUUCUUGCGUCGAGAUCACGGAGCAAGAAUCGAGAUUUGCUGAGAAGUUUGGUACCCGUAGCUAUGCCAGCCAUGCCAGCAGCUUUUCUUCGGUGCGCGCUUGUUCAGCAGGCUCAGUGGAGCCCUGGACUAGGGGGCCAACCCUGCUAAGAAGCAAGCGUCUGCAGCGAUGAAGACGAUCGACCGAACGCUAAACCUUAAUGGACCAAAUAGUUCUCUUUCUCUCAGCUGCCCUGCCGUGGCUUUGCCUACAGAGCGGGAAGACUAAAAACAACCGCGCACUUUGGCGUACGAUCACGUGUUUGGCCGACGGGUGUGGCUUUUCCUUGCUCCAUGGGUGCAGGGCCUCGGUCCAGCUAGCUACAUGCUCGCUAAAAUCGGCUAAAAUGUAUGGACUGUCUCCCGUCACGCGGAAACUUAGGGUGCCUGAAUGGUCUCUCUUUCCAUUCCUCCCUCAAUAACCAAUGCGGCGGCAUUAAUUUAGACGCAAGGGCGAGCAGAGGUCGACCACUCGAUCUGUUGCACUAUAUAUCAUUGGCAUGCCUCCAUGUCUCUUGUUCUCUGGUGAAAUGGCGCAACGUGCUCUGGAACAUCGGUCAUGAAUCAGGCGGUAAAAAAACUGUCAUAAGUUUCUUUAAUAAACAAAUUAAGGUGAAAUUAAAUAAGUAUCUUGCAAAUGAGAUUUAAAGUGUCUACUGGUGCAGAUAUAUCAGUUAUAUAAGUAUUACAUAAAACAAUUAUGUGAGCAUAAUAACUAUUAAGAACAAUUUUAGCAUGCAAUUAUUUUUGUCUCGCGCAGCAAUAUGCAGAGGGCUUCACAAACGUUCCAGUGGCUGUAACCCAGUACGGUAGCUUAGCUCAAAGGAAAGAAUUACAGGAAGAGUCGAAUUCGAGCCAUACUUUUGGAAAGGUUCUAAAGAUUUUUUCCGUUGAAUAAUGAGACGACAGCAGGCCAAAAAGUGUUGCAGAGAUUCAUUCUCAUUGCAUAAAGGACACAAUGGUGAUACAGCCAGACCAGACCUGUGGAGGUAAAAGUUCAGUGCGAAAACUCGAUCGGCACCGGUCGUAAUCCCGCUUUCUCCAUAGCAGUUGCAACUGAACGGCGAGGAUCCAUGGCUGGAGCGAAGCCAGUUAAAGUAGUCGUUGAGUAUUGUGGGGGAUGAGGAUACAUCUCUCGCUUCGAGGAUCUGAAAAAGCAGAUCCUCGCCAAGCUGCCAAAUGCCCAUGUGACUGGCACCGUAGGACGCAAAACAUCCUUCGAAGUGGAAAUCAAUGGUGUCCAGGUAUUCUCUAAGCUCCAAAAGGGUGCCUUUCCUGACUUUGGAGAGGUUGUUGCUCGAGCUGUGGAUGCCAGCCAAGGGAAAGCUGUACAGGCUGUAACCGGUGUGCAGAAGUAGUUCAGAGGAUGGCCCAUGGCUCGAAGGUCCCUGUCGGAGCCUUCCAGACAUGUGUCGACUAUACUCCCUCGUGCCUGUGGCCCGUUGUUCACCGUCCCUUCGCACUUGCUCUGCCGGUUGGCCAUGCAGUUGGCCUAACUGAACAAUAGCUCAAGGCCUUGGAAUGCGUAUGAAUGAUGGCUUGACCCCAAAUCUUGAAAAGGGUCUUGCUUGAAGAACCAGCGUGUUCCUGCCUGGUGCUACUUGCUCUGUGAAAGCCAUUCAUGUAUGGACUUUGUAGAAGCUUUCUCCAUAGAGGUUGCAACUGAUCGGCGAGGAUCCAUGGCUGGAGCGAAGCCAGUUAAAGUAGUCGUUGAGCAUUGUGGAGGAUGAGGAUACAGCCCUCGCUUCGAGGAACUGAAGAAGCAGAUCCUCGCCAAGCUGCCAAAUGCCAAUGUGACUGGCACCGUAGGACGCAAAACAUCCUUCGAAGUGGAAAUCAAUGGUGUCCAGGUAUUCUCUAAGCUCCAAAAGGGUGCCUUUCCUGACUUUGGAGAGGUUGUUGCUCGAGCUGUGGAUGCCAGCCAAGGGAAAGCUGUGCAGGCUGUAACCGGUGUGCAGAAGUAGUUCAGAGGAUAGCCCAUGGCUCGAAGAUCCCGGUCGGGGCCUUCCAGAUAUGUGUCGACGAUACACCCUUGUGCCUGUGGCCCGCUGUUCACCGUCCCUUCGCACUUGCUCUGCCGGUUGGCCAUGCAGUUGGCCUAACUGAACAAUAGCUGAAGGCCCUGGAAUGCGUAUGAAUGAUGGCUUGACCCCAAAUCUUGAAAAGGGUCUUGCUUGAAGAACCAGCGUGUUCCUGCCUGGUGCUACUUGCUCUGUGAAAGCCAUUCAUGUAUGGACUUCGUAGAAGUAAAUGAAUUUUUUAAAAAUUUGUGUAUCUUUUCUAACACUUUCUAAGUCUGUGAAAUAACAAGAGCCAAAUUCAUUGGAA